rnacentral:rRNA from 1 species
AAUGAACGUUGGCGACGUGGAUUAGGCAUGCAAGUCGUUCGCCCAGCAAUGGGCGAGGCGCAAGGGUGAGUAAGGCGACGACAACCAACCCCGGGGGUGGGCAUAGCCGCGGGAAACUGCGGGUAAUUCCCAGCGAAGUCGGAGGGUGGCAUCAUUCACCGACCAAAGGUGCGAUAUCCGCCUCGGGACGGGUCGUCGUGGUAUCAGCUAGUUGGUGGGGUAACGGCCCACCAAGGCGAAGACGCCUACCGGGCGUGCGAGCGUGGCCCGGCACACUGGGACUGAGACACUGCCCAGACACCUACGGGUGGCUGCAGUCGAGAAUCUUCGGCAAUGGGCGCAAGCCCGACCGAGCGACGUCGCGUGGAGGACGAAGGCCUUCGGGUUGUAAACUCCUGUCGAGGGGGAACAAGGGCCGGUGGAGAGCCGGACUUGAGUGAUCCCUGGAGGAAGCACGGGCUAAGUUCGUGCCAGCAGCCGCGGUAACAC